UACGGAGGGUGCGAGCGUUGUCCGGAAUCACUGGGCGUAAAGGGCGCGUAGGCGGUCCGGUAAGCGUGUGGUGAAAGCCCGGGGCUCAACCCCGGGUCGGCCGUGCGAACUGCGGGACUGGAGCACUGUAGAGGCAGGCGGAAUUCCGGGUGUAGCGGUGGAAUGCGUAGAGAUCCGGAAGAACACCGGUGGCGAAGGCGGCCUGCUGGGCAGUGGCUGACGCUGAGGCGCGACAGCGUGGGGAGCAAACAGG
rnacentral:rRNA from 1 species